AUACUUACCUGGCAGGGGAGAUACCAUGAUUAUGAAGGUGGUUUUCCCAGGGUGAGGCUUACCCAUUGCACUCCAGAUGUGUUGACCCCUAAGAUUUCCCCAAAUGUGGGAAACUCCACUGCGUUUUGUGGUAGUGGGGAACUGCGUUUGCGCUCUCUG